GAUGAUUUUCUCCAAUAUUUAGUCAGACUGAUUUUCUGGAUCCAAGUUUCUCAACUUACCAAAUGUGGGCAAAUCAUUAUAUUGCUCCCAGCCUUAAAAAUCUUCAAUAAGUUAAAGAGAGGACUCAGGCUUAAUGGCAAUCCUGUUAUCUUACCAAUGAGGAGACUAAACACCUAGUUGGAGAUCACCUCCUUACUGGCUCAGAGCUUCAGGAAAUAGCUCAAGGAUGUGCAAAUACUAAACAGUAGAGCUGGGAUUUAGAUCCACAUCUACUUAAUUUUAGUGCGUAUGCUCUAACUGCUGCCACAGAAGGGAUGCAGAGGAAGACGGUCAGUUACCCAGAGGGUGAUAUCUUUGACUUAAUGUUCACCAUAAAGACAGCUAUCAACAAAAGACUUGAAUUCUAACUUGUUAUCUAUUGCAGGAAAGUGCCUGCAAUAUGCCAUUGUGACAAGGCACCAUCAAUCAUCAUGUCCCUUUACCAGGAGGGCCCGUGUCAUAAGCCACUAUAUAAAGGGAAUGAUGGGUGGACUGCUUUGGACAAAUGGACCUGCGGUAGGAGAGAGGGACAACAGUAGGAGCAGGCAGAUCUUGCUGUUUCAACCAAAACCUCAUGCUGACCAGAGUUGAGGAACAGAAGAAGAUGGUGAAGGCCUGCAGGUAUAGGUGUUCAGCAUGUCAUCUGAAAUAUUCCCCACAGAGGCAAAAAGAAAGGAAAUUAUCUCUGAAAAGGAAUGGGAGGACAAGUCAGCAGAAUAUGUCAAUGUUUUGGUUGAAGAAGCUGCUUGAAUCUGGGCUUUUCUGUGCCAUGUGUUCUCCCAGGGCCAGCACAAAGAAGGGCUUUUGGUGCAGGCCCAAGACCACCAUAAUCAUCAUUGAUUAUUCCUCUCCACGCCAGUGUCUCUAAAUAAACUUUCUCUUCUUUCUCUGACAAAGGUGUUUUUGAGUGUUACUGUUUAGCUGAAGAGUGACGUUGAGUGACCUUAGUACCCUAGCCCUUCAUGUAAUCAGAUGGGUGUUGUAAGCAGAGGGAGAACCAUGUGAGUCAGGAGGAAAUAUGUAGUUUACCCUUUUUUUCCUGUUUGAAAGAUUUACUAUGAUGUUCAUGGUUGGGCUUUUGUUUGGGAUAAAUUGAGAUGCUUUCUGGAUAUGAUAAGGGCUUAUUUGGUUUGAUAGACCGUCUAAACAAGGCCAGUGCAGGCUGAGCCAGGUGAACCACCAGAUCACCAUCAGCUCACACUUCUCAUUCAUUUGUUAGCAGAAAUGAAGAUGCUUGUUUUCCUAGAAACAAGCCCAGGUCAUCCAUCAUGAAGUCCAGGAAUUGUAAAUGUGAGGAAGUGCAAAGACACAACGUACACUUACAAAGGCAUAUGUGCAUUUGGAAUUCUUUAAAGGACAACAUCCUCGAGCUUCUCCUGGAGUUAAACUAGAAAAUCACAGGAAAAGAUUAAAAAAUGGAGAUCAAGAGAAAGAGGGAAAAACAAAGACCAGAAUAAACAUAAUUUCUAUUCAUCCCCUGGAUUAGUGAGCACAAGCCAUGCUUCUUGAUUCGAGCUCAGGUGAAGGGUGAAAUGCAGCCACAUCUAUAUUUUCCAAUGCCUUAUCUGUCUUCCUUUUUGGUCUCUUUGCUUGUUUUAUUUUAUAGGCUCAACGCACCUUCAUAUCUAUUAUCAACAAUAAAUGGGCCUGGUAUCAUUGGAAACGUGAAAAAUAGAACAUGGGGCCUCCACGUGAAAAGUAACUACAAAACAGAACCAGAAAAUAGUCAUGCUGUUCAAACAUUACACUCCAAGAAAAGAAACUCUAGUGUAUAACAGAGGGGCUCUGUCAAAAUUUAACAACAUAAAUAUUGGGCAAAUGAAGUUGUUUCUCUGGUGCUAUCUCAACCUGCCAAUGGAGAAAUAUCUCAAAAAGUCAAGAAUUGAAGCCAUUACUCAGAGACAGCAUCCUAUGGCAUGGUGAUCCAAAACAAGUACACCUCUACCUUUUCCCUUUCAGCCCCAAACCCCAAAACACUGGAGAAUAUUGGGGCAGGCAAGGCCCGUGAAUAGGUGAGCAGAGCUGGAAGAAGAGACUCCUGCCCCUGGUGGGCCUCAGGCUAUUUGUGGAAUGAUGUUUGUGAGAUGAACAUGUUCGCUCCCUCACCCGGAUGUUUUGGACAUAGGAGC
rnacentral:lncRNA from 1 species